CAGAAGCUCUGAGUUCCUUUACAUCACAAUAAAGGAGACCAGCAACCACUGCCUGCUGAGCAAGCCCCUCAUGCACAUCACCUGUUCACUGUUACAGCAGAACGUCUGAGUCAAUGUCCUGGUAGUGCAGCUCAUCAAGCUCCUCACUGCAGAAAGAGUGAGCUAAAGGUCAAGGACAGUGUCCACAUGCUUUUACAUCACGAAUGGACUGUGUGGCCAGCAGCCAGACAACUCUAAAGAAAGGUUUGGGGAGGCAGCCUUUUACUUACUCUGCUUUUUAAAAAGAACACUCUAAUGAUUUCAAAAGCUACAAGAAAAUAAUUAAGGGCUGGAGAUGAAGUUUAUUGGUAGAGUGUUUGCCAAGCAUGUGUGAAGGCUGGGUUUGACUUCCAGCACCACCAAAAAAUAAAAGAACUUCAUGAUAUUCAAAACCAGAUUCCUAGCUGAACAUGGGGUUGCGUACCUAUAAUCCUAUUGACUCAGGGCACUGAAGCAGGAGGAUCACAAGUUCCAGAGCAGCCUGAGCAAUUUAGGAAGACCCUAUCUAGAAA